AAAAUAUUGUUUCCCUACUUUUAUUUUCCCUUUCAGUAUCUGAAAUAUACCAACACAUUUUGAGAUAAUUUUUCCUAUUUGUACAAGUGAUUCUACCAAAUUACUUAUUUUGGGGUGUUGAGGUGAGGUGUUCAUGGUUCUGGUUUAUGAAUGAUAUUAAGAAGGGUUGCAUGACUUAUGGUGCGGGAUGACACAUAAAAGAAAAGGGGAAGUGGUUUCCUCAGACCCUUUUCUCCCAUGCACAACCCUGUUUAUUUUGGGCCUUUGGAUUGAAUAAAUCAUAGGAGAAUCAAGGACAAAAAUAAACAGGGGUGUCCGAAAAUCAUUUCGCAAGAAAAAGCUUAUACAGACAAAAACUAAUGUAACUGAAUAGGUGGUUGUAUUUCAAAUGCAAUUAAAUUUUUGCACAUAAACAAAGUUUAACAUACACAAUACUACUAAAUUAAGAAUAUGCUUCUACAUCUUGGAGCGAUCGAGCUUGUUUUGAAGCGGAAAAAACCAAAGAUGUUUACAAAAUAAUAAAAUAAAAUAUUCGAUUGUAAUGCGACAAGGCCAGACAUUCAUACUUGAAGGAAAAUGAAACCAUUUAUAAACUUUUUUGUUGGUAAGUUGUUGUCACAAUUGGAGUAUAAUACUGAUCUACACGAUCCUUCUAUAAGGUAGCAAACUCAUAUAUAAGCUUUUAUUUUUAAUACCUUGAUUUGUUAUGCUAGCCGACAUUCACCUCUCCCAGACCCUGCGUAAAGCGGGAGCCUUGUGCACUGGGUACGACCUUGAUUUGUUAUGCAAUGAGUUCACUCCAGUUCCAAUUUCUGCUGUCUUAAUUAUG
rnacentral:lncRNA from 1 species